UACGGAGGGAGCUAGCGUUGUUCGGAAUCACUGGGCGUAAAGGGUGCGUAGGCGGCACGGUAAGUCAGAGGUGAAAUCCCGGAGCUCAACUUCGGAAUUGCCUCCGAUACUGCCGUGCUUGAGGACUGGAGAGGAGAUUGGAAUUCACAGUGGAGCAGUGAAAUGCGUAGAUAUUGUGAGGAACACUAGUGGCGAAGGCGAAUCUCUGGACAGUUCCUGACGCUGAGGCACGAAGGCCAGGGGAGCAAACGGG
rnacentral:rRNA from 1 species